CCUACGGGAGGCAGCAGUGGGGAAUAUUGCACAAUGGGCGGAAGCCUGAUGCAGCGACGCCGCGUGAGGGACGAAGGCCUUCGGGUUGUAAACCUCUUUCAGCAGGGACGAAGCGUGAGUGACGGUACCUGCAGAAGAAGCACCGGCUAACUACGUGCCAGCAGCCGCGGUAAUACGUAGGGUGCGAGCGUUGUCCGGAAUUACUGGGCGUAAAGAGUUCGUAGGCGGUUUGUCGCGUCGUUUGUGAAAACCCGGGGCUCAACUUCGGGCUUGCAGGCGAUACGGGCAGACUUGAGUGUUUCAGGGGAGACUGGAAUUCCUGGUGUAGCGGUGAAAUGCGCAGAUAUCAGGAGGAACACCGGUGGCGAAGGCGGGUCUCUGGGAAACAACUGACGCUGAGGAACGAAAGCGUGGGUAGCAAACAGGAUUAGAUACCCUGGUAGUCCACGCCGUAAACGGUGGGCGCUAGGUGUGGGUUCCUUCCACGGGAUCUGUGCCGUAGCUAACGCAUUAAGCGCCCCGCCUGGGGAGGUACGGCCGCAGACGUAACGUACGAGAGUGAGGCGNGAAGAGUGCGAGCGACGACGAGGGAGGAGG
rnacentral:rRNA from 1 species